GCUGGGAUUGUGGCUCAGUGGUAGAGUGCUUGCCUGGCAUGUGAGGCACUGGAUUUGAUCCUCAGCACCACAUAAAAAAGAAAUAAACAAACAAAUAAAUAAAUAAAGUUUAAAAAAAAAAAAAAUUCUAGUCGCCAGGCACAUGCCUGUAAUCCCAGUGGUUUAGGAGGCUGAAGCAGGAGGAUCGUGGGUUCAAAGCCAGCUUCAGCA
rnacentral:tRNA from 1 species